GCGUUCAUCUUCAUAGCUCAGUUGGUUAGAGCACCCGCUUGGUAAGCGGGAGGUCUUGAGUUCAACUCUCAAUGAAAGCA